rnacentral:tRNA from 1 species
AGCCCUGUAGCUCAGUGGUUAGAGCACUCGCAAACGAGAGACCUGGGUUCGAUUCCCGGCAGGGCGA